rnacentral:rRNA from 1 species
UGAGGAAUAUUGGGCAAUGCCCGCAAGGGUGACCCAGCAACGCCGCGUGGAGGAUGAAUGUCGUAAGAUUGUAAACUCCUGUUAGAGGGGAAGAAUAGUACCGGUUGGACCGGUAUAUGACUGUACCCUCAGAGAAAGCCCCGGCUAACUACGUGCCAGCAGCCGCGGUAAUACGUAGGGGGCAAGCGUUGUCCGGAUUUACUGGGUGUAAAGGGCGCGCAGGCGGGAUAAAAAGUCAGUGGUGAAAUCCUACAGCUUAACUAUAGAACUGCCUUUGAUACUUUUAUUCUUGAGUUCGGGAGAGAGAGACGGAAUUCCAGGUGUAGUGGUGAAAUACGUAGAUAUCUGGAAGAACACCAGUUGCGAAGGCGGUCUCUUGGUCCGAUACUGACGCUGAGGCGCGAAAGCGUGGGGAGCAAACA